rnacentral:rRNA from 1 species
AUUGAACGCUGGCGGCAGGCCUAACACAUGCAAGUCGAACGAGUGGCGGACGGGUGAGUAAUGUCUGGGAAACUGCCUGAUGGAGGGGGAUAACUACUGGAAACGGUAGCUAAUACCGCAUACCAUCGGAUGUGCCCAGAUGGGAUUAGCUAGUAGGUGGGGUAAAGGCUCACCUAGGCGACGAGACCUAGCUGGUCUGAGAGGAUGACCAUCCACACGAUAACUGAGACACGGUCCCGACUCCUACGUGAGGCAGCAGUGGGGAAUAUUGCACAAUGCGCGCAAGCCUGGUGCAGCCAUGCCGCUUGUAUGAGUAAGGCCUUCGUGUUGUAAAGUACUUUCAGCGGGGAGGCGUUACCCGCAGAAGAAGCACCGGCUAACUCCGUGCCAGCAGCCGCGGUAAUUC